ACGGGUGAGUAACACGUGGGCAACCUGCCCUUGAGACUGGGAUAACUUCGGGAAACCGGAGCUAAUACCGGAUAAUAUAAGGAACCUCCUGGUUCCUUGUUGAAAGAUGGUUUCGGCUAUCACUUAAGGAUGGGCCCGCGGCGCAUUAGCUAGUUGGUGAGGUAACGGCUCACCAAGGCGACGAUGCGUAGCCGACCUGAGAGGGUGAUCGGCCACACUGGGACUGAGACACGGCCCAGACUCCUACGGGAGGCAGCAGUAGGGAAUCUUCCACAAUGGACGAAAGUCUGAUGGAGCAACGCCGCGUGAGUGAUGAAGGCCUUCGGGUCGUAAAGCUCUGUUGUUAGGGAAGAACAAGUGCGAGAGUAACUGCUCGCACCUUGACGGUACCUAACCAGAAAGCCACGGCUAACUACGUGCCAGCAGCCGCGGUAAUACGUAGGUGGCAAGCGUUAUCCGGAAUUAUUGGGCGUAAAGCGCGCGCAGGUGGUUUCUUAAGUCUGAUGUGAAAGCCCACGGCUCAACCGUGGAGGGUCAUUGGAAACUGGGGAGCUUGAGUGCAGAAGAGGAAAGUGGAAUUCCA
rnacentral:rRNA from 1 species